ensembl:lncRNA
GUAAUUCUUAUGAACAAUAGUGGUUUGACUUGUUUUUUAAGCUUCCAGUGUUCACAAAAAUACAAGACACAUAAUAUUAAAAUUACAGAAUAAUAUGGAAUGCAAGAAGACAGUUUAAGUCUGUCAGAAUAGAAAUAGAAUAAGUAGUUUAACUCAGAAUAGAAAUACAGCACAAGUAUCUAAAGAUUUUGUGCAUAUUUACAGUGUUAGGAGCAAUAAUAUGAAUAAAUAGGAGUGAAUUUGCAGUGAAAGUAUAGCACCAAGAGAGGCCUCGGGCGGUAUUAAACUGUUCAAGAGGGAGAUGACUUGUAGGAAGAAGCUUUUCCUGUGCCAUCCUGGCCAGAUGUCAACAGUUUAAAGUGACGUGUGACGUGACAUACAGCCAAGUAUGGUGAAACAUACUCAGAAUUCUUGCUCUGCAUUUAACCCAUCCAAAGUGCACACACACAGCAGUGAACACACACACACACAGUGAACACACACCCCGGAGCAGUGGGUAGCCAUUUAUGCUGCGGCGCCCGGGGAGCAGUUGGAGGUUCAGUGUCUUGCUCAAGGGCACCUCAGUCGUGGUAUUGCCGGCGCGAGACUCGAACACACAAACCUUAGAGUUAGGAGUCAAACUCUCUAACCACAAGGACACGACUUCCCCCAAAGAUGUGUUUCACUGUUUUCCCUGCUGAGGAUCUGUUGGGAGCAAGUGGUGUAAUGCUAAAUUUCUCCAAAUCUGUUUCCAUGAAGAAACAAACUCAUCUACAUCAUGGCCUGAGGGUUCAGGCUCUAAGCAGACAGGAAAUCAAAGAGAUGAUGGUCAUUUUGAGGGAUUUGAUUUUCAUUUCCUUCAGUCUUUGUAUCAUGACUUAAGUCUAUUUUGACUUUCUGACCUCAGCAGGAACUUGAAUGACCCCUUCAGUAUGUUGUCUUGUAUUACAGUUCCUCCAAGAGAUCUUUUCAAGUCAUAAUGCAAGCCACAAUACUUUAAGUUAAUGAAUAUAUACAACUGUCUUUUAACCAAACCAACACAAUUAAAAUUCUUGAAUAAAAAAGUAUUGAUAGUUGAAAGUUGAAUGAAA